UGCGCAGAAGACAUUAUUUGAACCUUUUAUUUAUUUCCCAAACGUUUACUGAGUCUGUGUUUAAUUACUAUUCUAGGCACUGAGGGGUCCCGUGGAAAAAAGAGACAACUUGUCUUGUGUCUGACUUACUUUCCUCCCGGCUGGGAAAAAAUACCGAACACCUGCAAGUUUAAGGAGGAGAGGUCCCUUUUGGUUUAAGAGUUCAUUCUUCAAGCUCGGGAAACAUGGAGGCGGUGUACCUGACUGCCAGGCUCGACUCAGACAGGACUUUCCCAGCACCCAACCUGUUUGUCAGCAGCACUGUCCUCAGAGAAGACACAGCUCAGCACCAGAGCCCUCGGCAAACAUGGGGUGUCCUGAAAAGAGGGGAACAGUAGCUCCCAAGAUGAAACACGGUAAGGGGCGAAAUCCCAUUCCAUUGUGCAGUGGAGCGGUGGAUUGACAAGUGGUGGUCAACUUGUAACCCCCAGCUGAACUGAGGCCUGAGGAUCACUCCCUGUGGGGAGCUGGCAUCUGGCGGUAACACAGCCCUCCCCUCACCCGUCCACAGGGCAUCUCAGAGGCUGCGUGGCUGGUGGGAAGGGUCCCAGUGUGCGGCUGGCAGCACCGCUGCGAACAGGAUUUCUAUGAAUAGACCAGAAGCUGACCUCUAUGCACUGUUGGGGUGCAGGUGAGGAAUUUGACGGAAAUCUCCUGAACAGAACCUCAGUCCUACACCUAGCCCUGCCCCUCGGUGCAGCCUUCGUACCCAUUUUGCCUCUAACUGUUGUUACCUCUGAGGCUCCUGCCCUGGACCUGCCUGCCUCUUCCCUCUGGUACCUCGGAUGGCCAAAGGACAAAAGCAGCAGGACACGGGAUGUAUUUUCAGGCAGUACUUUUCCUCUUUCUCUUCUCUUUUCUAACUUCCGUCUCUGGCCAGAGCUUUGCUCUAAUUACAGCAAAGGCCAAACAAGGUGAACUGUAGUCUAGGAACUUUUCAUUUCUAUAACUUUAUGAGUCAGAGAGGAGUUUUUCCAGUAAUUUCCUUGCUUGCUGGUUACUGUUUAUUCUGCUUUAUGGAAUGCACCUAGGUAACUGAUUAAUUGUCUAAUGAUUGUUGGCAAUCUUGAACCUUAUUGUCCUAUUCAAAAAUGGUCCUAACAAAACUGAAAUGACAAUUUUGUUCUUUUAU